AUUAACGCUAGCGGCAGGCAUAAUACAUGCAAGUUGAACGGCAGCACAGGUAGCAAUGCUGGGUGGCGAGUGGCGCACGGGUGCGUAACACGUAUGCAACCUACCCUAUACAGGCGAAUAACCUUUAGAAAUGAGGGCUAAUACGCCGUAGUAUUACAGAUGGGCAUCUAUUUGUAAUUAAAGAUUUAUCGGUAUAGGAUGGGCAUGCGUCCCAUUAGUUAGUUGGUAAGGUAACGGCUUACCAAGACGAUGAUGGGUAGGG
rnacentral:rRNA from 1 species